CAGGCCUCCCUCUGCUUGGUUCCAGUCGUGGGCAUGAGUGAGGGGCGAUGCUUGAUGGCUUUGAUGCCAUCGGUGGGAAUGUGUUUAAGCAUCGGCCUUCCCUCAUGACCACGAUGGUCUACAGUCUUGUGUACGAGUUAGUGACGUCGCUUGUUUGUUUUGAUGCUUGCGUUGGAACUUGCUUAAGCAACCGACCUGACGAAGUACCCAUGAAUGUCUCCCAUGAUGGUCUACAGUCUUGCGUACGAGUUAGUGACGUCGCUUGUUUGUUUUGAUGCUUGCGUUGGAACUUGCUUAAGCAACCGACCUGACGAAGUACCCAUGAAUGUCACCAAUGAUGGUCUACAGUCUAGCGUACGAGUUAGUGACGUCGCUUGUUUGUUUUGAUGCUUGCAUUGGAACUUGCUUAAGCAACCGAACUGACGAAGUACCCAUGAAUGUCGCCCAUGAUGGUCUACAGUCUUGGGUAUGAGUCAGUGACGAUGCUUGUUUGUUUUGAUGCUUGCGUUUGAACUUGCUUAAGCAACCGACCUGACGAAGUACCCAUGAAUGUCGCCCAUGAUGGUCUACAGUCUUGGGUAUGAGUCAGUGACGAUGCUUGUUUGUUUUGAUGCUUGUGUUGGAACUUGCUUAAGCAACCGACCUGACGAAGUACCCAUGAAUGUCUCCCAUGAUGGUCUACAGUCUUGCGUACGAUUCAUUGACGUCGCUCGUUUGUUUUGAUGCUUGCGUUGGAACUUGCUUAAGCAACUACCUGACGAAGUACCAUGAAUGUUUGAGAGCCGGAAGGCAAGGGGGUGCAAACACUAAUUGAACUUUGUCCCGAUUGCCGAGUGUUAUGUGCUUGAUGUCCAAGGCUUGAUGCUGAUCCUCCAUGUGGGGGUUGUCCCUGCACCAAUGGCUUUUGCCAGGAUCAUGGCGUUUGUUAUGAUCGAAAAACUGAGGGGGUGAUGUUUAGAGCUGGAAGGCAAGGGGGUGCAAACACCAGUCGGCCUUUGUCCCGAUUGCUGAGUGUUAUGUGCUUGAUGUCCAAGGCUUGAAGCUGACCCUCCAAGUGGGGGCUUUUUUGUUCUUGCGGUAACGACUCUGUUGGGAUCAUUGUGAUCAAGUUUGGUUGGUUUCGUAUUGUGGUGGGUUUUUUCGAAGCUUCUAUCGUUCUUUUACGCAUCGUGCGGUGCAUCUUGGGGGCUGUUUUGGCUUUUGGUUGCUUGCUUGGGCUUUAUGCUAGGCGGGUGGCUAAU
rnacentral:misc_RNA from 1 species